rnacentral:lncRNA from 1 species
CAUUGAGGGCAUCCAAAACUCACUCAAGAUCACCAAGUGGUAGGAAAGUACUAACUCCUAGGCAUAGCCCUAGGGGAGUGACUACAAUGUGAAUACUCAUGGAAUGCGUAGCCAGGUGAAGAAGUGAAUGCAUGUUGGCAUCCCAGAGGGACCCCCAUAAGAGGGCAUAGUUUGGGGUUCAGAUUUGACUCCAGCAUACUGUUGAAAUUGGGGCACAGGGGGCUAGUGAUUAGUCAGGAUCAAUCAGUGGAGAGGAGAUUAAAACUCACAUCUGGGAAUCCGGAAUCAGAACUUGUAGUUCUUUUUUUUGAAAUGGAGUCUCGCUCUGUCGCCCAGGCUGGAGUGCAGUGGCGUGAUCUCGGCUCACUGCAACCUCUGCCUUCCGGGUUCAGGCAAUUCUCCCACCUCAGCCUCCUGAGUAGCUGGGAUUACAGGCGCCCACCACCACAGCCGGCUACUUUUUGUAUUUUUAGGAGAGACGGGGUUUCACCAUGUUGGUCAGCCUGGUCUUGAACUCCUGACCUCAUGAUCCACCUGCCUUAGCCUCCCAAAGUGCUGGGAUUACAGGCGUGAGCCACCCGAAAUAUCCUCACCCACAUGUCCUGUACCCUGCCUGAACCCUCCUCCUCUUUUUGUUCUGAUCUUUGAGCUCCCUAGAGCCCAUAAUUCUUUAGAGCAGGUAUGUCCCGAGUCUGAAACAUGCCCUUAUUUGUCCCAAGCUCUGGACAUUUCUCACCCCAAGGCGGAUCAAUCAUGAUUAAAUCACUCCAAUUAAACUUUAGGCUCCAGUCAGACCUUCAGCCAAAUGGAAAAAAAAACUAGGGGAUAAGGGAGGUAGCUGGAGCAAGAAAAUGUUAUUAGUUGAAACCUUAUGGGACCUUCCUCCCUUAGUGAGUCUGUUGGCUAAAGGUUCUCUGGCUUCGUGAAUUAGAAUUGGAUACUGUUUCCAAGUUAGCAAAACCAACUCUACCCCAGCACCCCACGAGGAAGAAUGUGGAAGGAUCUCCCAUUGGCCGGUUGGGGCAAAAGCCUGAGGCAAUCUUUCAUCCCCUUUUGCCAAGGCGAGACUUUCCCAGUGACGGUGAUGUAGUUGGCCACUCUGUCUAGGGGAGUGUUGAGACUAUGGGUGGACUCGGGUGUAGACCUCUGAAGCUGAGAUCACACGAAAACCUGGCCUCCCCGCCAUGUAGCUGUUGGAGAGUAGAAAAAUAGAGCACGCCUGAUGUUUCUAAAUGAGAAGACUUUCAAUAGUAAUGAAGAAUCCAUGGCACUCUCCUCACCCUCAAACACAUGGCAGUCAUUCACAUACAGGCCCCAAAGCCACUGUUAGUGCUGCAGUAGCUCCUGUGGACAUUGGAAAGCCUGGAGAGGGCGUGGAAGAAAUCAGUUGGCCCCCGGCAGGUUCUCUGGGGUUUUGUGCCCUAAAAACUUUCAAAAGUUAACUCCCCACGUCCCCAUCCUGCUUGGGUUUCUGGACUUUUCUGAGGCACCGGCAGAGGGGUCUCGUUGCUCCCUUGAGUGUAGGGGCAGCCCUUUAACCUGGCUCCCUGAGUCCCUGCUUUUUCUGCCUCUGUUGUCUUCUUCCUCGUCUUCCUCUCUCUCAAUAUCUCCCUCUCUUUGUCCCUCCCCAGUUCCUGACCUGGCCCUCCCGGGGUGCCCUUGGCCAGCCCCGUGCCUCCUCAGGGUGUCCCAGCACCAGCCUGGCACAGAGUGGGGCUCAGUUAGAGUAUGUGGGAUGUUGGUUUCGCCAGGUGAGUGAAUGAAAGGACCCGACCACCACAGCUGAGCCACUAGCUGGGCCAUGCGAAGAGUUCUAGGUGCAAAGGCUGGAGGGUGGAAUUCAUUUUUGAGAGGUGUGUGAGCAGCUUCCGACCCCUGCCCCAUCUGAACGGGGGCCUUGCUGGUCGCGUCCCUGCAUUCACCCGCGCGGCCAUCCCGUCAUCCAACAGUUGAUCCUAACUGAGCACGCCCACGGCCCUGGUCUGGCCUGGGCACCGGCCACCGUAGCCCAUCCCUUGAUGGCCUCUGUGUCCCCAGGAGGGCGGGCCGGGGGGUUGCCCAGGGGCUGGAGCAGUGGACUGUGGCUCCACAGAGGUAGGCCGGAGGGUGUGAGGGCAGAUUCAAGCUAUCCCCAGGGCUCUGCUCUGGUCGGAGCCAGCCCCUUCUCCCUCUCUGCCUUCCCCGCCCCAUUCCUGAUGCUGAACUGUUCUGGACCCCUGGCCCUGAGUCUCUCAGGACCAAAGUGGGCACGGGAACAGCUGUAGUGUGUGCCCCCCGGGCUUUGGCCACAGGUCUCCCUCUCGAGGUGUGGUUGUGACUGCGACCCUUCCCUUGCCGUGAUGCCUUCCUCCCCCGGGGCUUGGUCCAGCUCCUUCACUCUCUAGCAGCUGCUGGGGCCCACCUCCCAUGCCGAGGACCAGCAGGGGAAACCUCCAGGGAGCAUCUGCAGGCUCUGCUUCUGCCCGGCUGCUGGCUUGCUCUCCCUGGUGGCUCUCCAGUGGCCAGCUUCCUCACCCACCCGGCACUCCGCUUUGCUCUGUCUCCUGAGGUGGGCCUGACCAACCUCCCCUUCUCUGCCUCAAUCCCUGGGCUCCAGGGCUCAGCUCCACAGCCCUCUGCCUAGCAGGCUGGUUCUCCCUGCCAAGCCCAUACCUGUGGUCACCUGGCCCUCCUGUGGUCUGAGUACCACUCCCCUGCCCCAGGAGCCACUCCCACUCCAGCUGCCUGUUUCCAGCAGGUUCCCAGUGCCCCCGACAAGCCCCUGCUGGUGUCUCCAUCUCCUGCCAAGCAUCCUCCAGUGCCUCCUCCUGUGGGCCUGGCCUCAGGGCUAUGGACAGACUCCUGUCCCAUCCCAGAGACCCCUCGUGAUCGUGCCCUGGCACGUGGGCCGUGGCCCGGCUGGGUCGGCUGAAGAACUGCGGAUGGAAGCUGCGGAAGAGGCCCUGAUGGGGCCCACCAUCCCGGACCCAAGUCUUCUUCCUGGCGGGCCUCUCGUCUCCUUCCUGGUUUGGGCGGAAGCCAUCACCUGGAUGCCUACGUGGGAAGGGACCUCGAAUGUGGGACCCCAGCCCCUCUCCAGCUCGAAAUCCCUCCACAGCCACGGGGACGCCCUGCACCUAUUCCCACGGGACAGGCUGGACCCAGAGACUCUGGACCCGGGGCCUCCCCUUGAGUAGAGACCCGCCCUCUGACUGAUGGACGCCGCUGACCUGGGGUCAGACCCGUGGGCUGGACCCCUGCCCACCCCGCAGGAACCCUGAGGCCUAGGGGAGCUGUUGAGCCUUCGGUGUCUGCAUGUGGGAAGUGGGCUCCUUCACCUACCUCACAGGGCUGUUGUGAGGGGCGCUGUGAUGCGGUUCCAAAGCACAGGGCUUGGCGCACCCCACUGUGCUCUCAAUAAAUGUGUUUCCUGUCUUAAC